rnacentral:ncRNA from 1 species
GUGUUGUGUGGAAGGAGAGAAGGUUAGCACUCGCCUUGACAAGGAUGGAAGAGGCCCUUGGGCCUUACAACACGCACACAGAAUACAAGAAUAUAU